rnacentral:rRNA from 1 species
UCGAUGUCGGCUCUUCGCCACCUGGAGCUGUAGGUGGUUCCAAGGGUUGGGCUGUUCGCCCAUUAAUGUGGUACGUGAGCUGGGUUCAGAACGUCGUGACACAGUUC